GAUGAACGCUAGCGACAGGCUUAACACAUGCAAGUCGAGGGGCAGCGGGGCGGUCAGCUUGCUGAACGCCGCCGGCGACCGGCGCACGGGUGAGUAACACGUAUGCAACCUGCCCGCCACAGGGGAAUAACCGGGAGAAAUCCCGACUAAUACCGCGUAGACCUGAUUGAGGCAUCUCGAUUGGGGGAAAGCUUCGGCGGUGGCGGAUGGGCAUGCGGCGCAUUAGCUAGUUGGCGGGGUAACGGCCCACCAAGGCGACGAUGCGUAGGGGUUCUGAGAGGAAGGUCCCCCCACAUUGGUACUGAGACACGGACCAAACUCCUACGGGAGGCAGCAGUGAGGAAUAUUGGUCAAUGGGCGGAAGCCUGAACCAGCCAAGUCGCGUGAGGGAAGACGGUCCUACGGGAUUGUAAAACCCUCUUUUUGUCGGGGAUAACGUGCGGGACGCGUCCCGUAUUGAGAGUACCCGAAGAAAAAGCAUCGGCUAAACUCCGUG
rnacentral:rRNA from 1 species